GCACCACUACGGUCAACCUUGGUGGGGUCCUUGCCAGAGAAGGCACCCCCGCCAUGGGCUCCCCAUCCGCCGUAGGUGUCGAUGAUGAUCUUCCGGCCCGUUAGGCCCGCGUCCCCAUGCGGCCCACCGAUGACGAAGCGGCCCGAGGGGUUGAGGUGGAAGAUGGUCUUCUCGUCGAGGUACUUGGCGGGGAUCACGGGCUUGAUGACGUGCUCCUUGAGGUCAGCGGCGAUCUCGUCGUUGGUGACGGUCUCGUCGUGCUGCGUGGAGAUGAGGACGGUGUGGACGCGGACGGGGACCAUGGCGCCGGACUCGUUGCGGUACUCGACGGUGACCUGGGUCUUGCCGUCGGGCCUGAGCCAGGCGCAGGUGCCGUCCUUGCGGACGUCCGUGAGCCUGGAGCCGAGCUUGGUGGCAAGCACGUGGCUGAGCGGCAUGAGCUCGGGGGUCUCGUCCGUGGCGUAGCCGAACAUGAUCCCUUGGUCGCCGGCGCCGAUCUCCUCGGGACGCCUGGUGAAGUGGCCGUGCACGCCCUGGGCGAUGUCCGGGGACUGCUGCUCGAUGUUGACGAGCACCUUGCAGCGGUCGGCGUCCAGGCCCACGUCGUCGGAGACGAAGCCGAUGUUGCGGCACGUGUCGCGGACGAUCUUCUCGUAGUCGACGGUGGCCUUGGUGGUGAUCUCGCCCAGGACCAUCACCAUGUUGGUCUUGGUGCACGUCUCGCAGGCCACCUUGCUGUCGGGGUCCUGCGCCAGGCACGCGUCCAGGACGGCGUCCGAGACCUGGUCGCACAGCUUGUCUGGGUGCCCCUCGUUCACGGACUCGGAGGUGAAGAGGAACGUCUCCAUCGCCAUUUCUGAUGAAGAAGCUACACGUCCUGUUGUUGGGGCAGGCAAGAGAGGGGAUAGAAUGGAAUGUAUGCACGGUUGAUCUAAGGCUAGAGUUGGGUCAUUUAUAGCAGCGGAGGCCGUGCGUAGGUUAAGUUGCUGGUGGGAUCGCGGGACUGAACAACCAUGGAUUGUUGUUGCCGCUGAGCCAAAGCGGCCCCGUCCUCACCAACCCAAAACCCAUGUUGCGGUGGGCCACGUCACCUACCAUCUACUGCUUAAUUCCCCUUUCUUCUUCUUCUCCACUUGCCUAUGUGAGGUGUUUCAUACGCUCGCAUGGUAGGCGUGGUUACACUCUCAGACUAAACAAAGGGUAGAAAACAAAAAGGCUGAUGAGCUGUUUCAAUUCGGACGAAACUGCACAAACUACAAAAGUGUUUCUGAGUGGCCAUGCUGGCAUGGACUGAUGGCGAUUGAAAAUACUCGGAGAUUUUUUUUGUUUGGCUCCCUGCCAGCCUAUUUCACCGCGUCAAGUGUGGUUGGUGGAGCUAGCACUGAUGACUGGUGGGUGGAUUUUUUUUUUAAUAUUCUUCGCUAAUUAUAAGCAACUCAAAAAGUCAGAAAUAUUCCUCUAUAUUAUGGGAUUGGGCCACCCAUAUUUAGCCCCACACUUGUGGAUGCUCCCACAUACGACUAUACGGAUAUAUGCAGCAAGCCGAUGCUCUGAGGUUAUUUGUAAAACUGCUGGUAUGUGGCCAUGUAGGGGUCAAUUAAUCUGUCAAUAGUUUCUUCAAGUUUUUUCAUUUCUGAAAUCAAUACAACCUUUGUUUAACUCGGGGAUAACGGUUUCGUUUUCAAUUAGGAGGAGAGCAAGAUAGAUUCUUCAAGUUGGUACCAAGAGCACCAAAUCUUUUUUUGUUUAAAAUUAUAUUUUUCAGUGCAUUCAUUUGAAAUAAAAUUGUGCCUAAUAGAUGUUACUCCAGUAUGUUUGUUUAUAAAAUUGGUCAAACUCUAAAAAGUUAGGCGGUCAACAAAUUUUAUACAUUUUGUUUGUGGAAGUAAAAAAUGGAUUGUCUCUUCAAGGUCCAAAGCGUUGCCGCGCGCAGGAUGCAGCGUGGUUAUCGCCUUGCUGGCUGACAUGUUCCUGAACACCAUCGCUACAUGUCCUGCAUAAUAAUUCAGGCAUCUAUGAGAGGAUGAGCAACCGAACUUGGAGUGAACAGCAUGCUUCAUGCAGAGACAUGGAGCAUGCUUCAAACCAUGCCGCUUUGAGUAAUCCGGCUGACGUGUAGCUGCAGGCAGAGUUAAGCAUGCUUCAUGUAGCUUUGAGUACCUACCGUACCGAUCCAUCCAUACCUUUUAGGCUUUUACAGUUAUAAGCAAGAAUAGUUGAUUCAUGUUGCUUCAUAAAGAAUAGUUGGUUCCUAGUCUCAAAAAAAGAAAAGAAUAGUUGGUUAAUGGAAUAAGAUAUUGGUCUUAGUGCGGUAUCUAGCAGGUGCAAGGCCGGAGCUUGAUUGAUUGUCCUCCUUUGGUUUUCUCGGUAAUAAUCAAUGUUCACGGCCGGGACCUAAACUUUGGGCGAAGAACACACUUCAGUUUACUCACUCUGUUCCGAAAUAGACAUAACAAGAUCUCUGCUCCAGAAUACAAAUAUUAUGAAACAUACAGUAAAAAAUAUCAAUAUCUACAAUAUCAAAUCAUGAUCAUAAGAUCUUAUAAUAAAAUAGUUUGAUAUAUUUAGGAAGUUUAACAGUGAACAUCAAAAGUUACACAUCUUGCAUUUUGGAAGAGAGGGUAUGAAAUUGUUUUCAGAACUAGGUUCAGGGUUGCCAGCAUAAUACAGGAGAACACAGAAAAUUUUAAUAGAAUGCAAGUGUGAAACAAAGGGAUGCAACCGUAACACGUUUAGAUAAAACACAUGAAAAGUGUAGCGAUGAAAUGAGAACGAAAAAGAUGUAAGAGUGGGUGCUGAAAUUGAUGCAUAAGAAACUAACCCAUAAUGGCCUCUUUGAUUAGCAGGAUUUUCAAAACACAUGAAUAGAUAAACAUAGGAAUUUUAGUUUGAGUGGACGUAAUUUUUAUUACUAGCAGAAACGAAUUAUAUGGAAAAAUUCAUACGGUUUGCAGGUGAAUCAAAUGAGUUACAUAGCAAAAAUUCCUAAGUAUUAGAAUUCUCCAGAAAUUAUUCAAAAAUCCUUUGAAUUGAAAGGCUCUUAGAAUUUUGUAGCACUAAUUGUGUUGAUUCAGAUGACAUUUGUCCCGUGGAUUAGGUUCCUUUGGUUUCAAGGAUUGAAGUUGGAGGAAAGAAUAUUCCUAUUGAAUGGGCACCAUGAAUGCAUUGAAACAAAGGAAUGGAUCCUAGGAAAUUUGAGUCGAAGGCAGGAAUUUAAAAAUGCAGGAAUAAAAGAAACGAAAUCACUAUGCGUACGACACUUCCGUGUCCGAAAUUGGUACGACACAACGAUGGAUGGUUGUAGCCAGCUCGGCUGAUGCGAUGGAUGGCUAGUACUGAUUGUCGUAUGAAAAUCGUACGCAUGAUGUCGUACGUGUAGCAGUGUCGUAAAAGGAAAAACUCAUGCUUACAAUGUUAUAUCCAUUUAAUUUUACAGGAUUAAAUUAGCACCUAAGCAUGUUUAAUUACAACAAAGAAAUUUUGUGUAAAGGUUCAUGAAAGUUCUGCUAUGAAAUGCGUGGCAGAGAAUGCUUACAAAAAGUUCGCAAAAAGUUUAGGUAAUGUUCCAGAUAUAAUUCCAAGUACUCCUACGAUAUUUUUCCCUUAAGAUUCUAUUCUUUUCAUUUCUUUAUAAAACUUUUUCCGAAGAUUUCUAUUUACAAUUUUUUUUACAUGAAACUGCUACCAUCAUGAAUCUCCGAUAUCAGGAAUAUUCCCCAUUUUGCACCGAAAGCAGAAAAGACUUGUCCCCAAAAUGAUUAAACCAGAUUCGAUGCUCCUAGAGAGAAGCUCAUACCAAUUACUAGCCACAGGAGGCCACCUUUCGUCAUGCCACAAGAUAGCAGAGUAGGCUGUUGUUAAGGCACAAGGAAGUUACAUUUUCUUGUUGGUUUGCUGAGCCAAGUGUUUCCUCAGUAAGUUCUACAGUUUAUUUAUAUUAAAACGCCAACGGAAGUUUUUGUCAAUCAAUUACACUAUAUAAAAGAAAAGUGCGCUCCAAGGUCCAAGCAAAUUCAAGCUGACCAAGCAUAAAACUUCAGAAUUAGGUGCUUAAAGUAUUUGGAACUGAGAAUAACAGGGUACGAAUAUCACAUAUGGUAUUACUGAUGCAGUUUCAGCAUACUAAAAAAUAACAGGACGACUGAUAGAGCAAACUGCACAGCUAUUGCAGUUUUAGACUCGAAAACGAAGGAAAACCACAAAAGAUAACAAAAGACCCGACUAGUAUAAACUCAGCACGUAACUCUGUCUGCCACACCAAAAUACCACUCACUAGACGCCAAUGCAGCGUGUCCGCGGCGAUAUCAAACCCCUUCUUCCUUCUAAAGAGCAGCAACUCAUUAAUCAGAGAUACAUCCAGCAGCAGUGAAACUCACUUCCAGCAGCAGUACCAGUCCUUAAGCAGAGGCCUUGUCAAACUUGAGGGGCUUCACCACCUCCCAGGUGAAGUCAGCAUCAUCACGGCCAAAGUGACCGUAGGCAGCGGUCUUGAUGAACCUGUUGCCACCCUUCUUCAAGUCAAGGUUGAUGCUGAUCAUACCAGGCCUGAAGUCAAAGUUCUCCUUCACGAUCUUCAGAAUCUCCUUGUCAGGGAUGGUGCCGGUGCCGUAGGAGUCGACGAAGACAGACAAAGGCUCAGGGACACCAAUGGCAUAGGAGAUCUGCACAAUGCAGCGGCGUGCAAGACCACUGGCAAUGAUGCUUUUGGCGGCCUGCCUGGCAAUGUAGGCACCACUGCGGUCAACCUUGGUUGGGUCCUUGCCAGAGAAGGCACCACCACCGUGGGCUCCCCAGCCACCGUAGGUGUCGAUGAUGAUCUUGCGGCCGGUGAGACCAGCAUCACCGUGAGGGCCACCGAUGACAAAGCGGCCUGACGGGUUCAGGUGGAAGAUGGUCUUCUCGUCCAGGUACUUCUCAGGGAUCACAGGCUUGAUGACAUGCUCCUUGAGGUCAGCAGCAAUCUCAUCGUUGGUGACGGUUUCAUCAUGCUGGGUGGAGAUGAGGACGGUGUGCACACGGACAGGGACCAUGGCACCACCCUCAUUCAGGUACUCAACAGUGACCUGGGUCUUGCCAUCAGGCCUGAGCCACGCACAGGUGCCGUUCUUGCGGACUUCAGUGAGGCGGGCACCGAGCUUGGUGGCAAGCACGUGGCUGAGGGGCAUGAGCUCAGGGGUCUCGUCAGUGGCAUAGCC
rnacentral:lncRNA from 1 species